rnacentral:rRNA from 1 species
GAUGAACGCUGGCGGCGUGCCUAAUACAUGCAAGUCGAGCGAACAGACGAGGAGCUUGCUCCUCUGACGUUAGCGGCGGACGGGUGAGUAACACGUGGAUAACCUACCUAUAAGACUGGGAUAACUUCGGGAAACCGGAGCUAAUACCGGAUAAUAUAUUGAACCGCAUGGUUCAAUAGUGAAAGACGGUUUUGCUGUCACUUAUAGAUGGAUCCGCGCCGCAUUAGCUAGUUGGUAAGGUAACGGCUUACCAAGGCGACGAUGCGUAGCCGACCUGAGAGGGUGAUCGGCCACACUGGAACUGAGACACGGUCCAGACUCCUACGGGAGGCAGCAGUAGGGAAUCUUCCGCAAUGGGCGGAAGCCUGCCGGAGCAACGCCGCGUGAGUGAUGAAGGUCUUCGGAUCGUAAAACUCUGUUAUUAGGGAAGAACAAAUGUGUAAGUAACUAUGCACGUCUUGACGGUACCUAAUCAGAAAGCCACGGCUAACUACGUG